AUGUUGCAGAAGUUUGUAGGAAUGCAUCCUCCUCUUGCUAUGCAAACUGAGGAAAUCAAAGUGAUGGGAAAGCAUUGUACAACAGCUGUUGACUUCGGAAUAUCUCAUGAACCAGUUAUACUCCUUGAUGCUCACGUAAAAUUAACUUAUUUUGCUCUCUGCAAUUGCAUAAUAGAACGGUUGAGCUAA
rnacentral:rRNA from 1 species